rnacentral:rRNA from 1 species
CCUACGGGAGGCAGCAGUGAGGAAUAUUGGUCAAUGGGCGCGAGCCUGAACCAGCCAAGUCGCGUGAGGGAAGACGGUCCUAUGGAUUGUAAACCUCUUUUGUCGGGGAGCAAAAGACGCCACGCGUGGCGUUCCGAGAGUACCCGAAGAAAAAGCAUCGGCUAACUCCGUGCCAGCAGCCGCGGUAAUACGGAGGAUGCGAGCGUUGUCCGGAUUGAUUGGGUUUAAAGGGUGCGCAGGCGGAAGAUCAAGUCAGCGGUAAAAUUGAGAGGCUCAACCUCUUCGAGCCGUUGAAACUGGUUUUCUUGAGUGAGCGAGAGGUAUGCGGAAUGAGUGGUGUAGCGGUGAAAUGCAUAGAUAUCACGCAGAACUCCGAUUGCGAAGGCAGCAUACCGGCGCUCAACUGACGCUCAUGCACGAAAGUGUGGGUAUCGAACAGGAUUAGAUACCCGGGUAGUC